AUUUAAAUAGUUUCUCCAUAUAAUAAAUAACCGCUAUAUAGUAAUUUUUAUUCAUACUAAAUGUUGGGUGUUUGAAUUUAAAUGCCCAAAAAUUGUAAUUUUGUUAAAUCUGGCCAUAAUGGAAAAUGUUAUAAAAAACGCUAAUUUUGAGGCGCUCUCACACUGGAAUAAGUUUAACAACCCUUUAUUCCUGGUUUUUACAGUCACUUCAACACAGAACAAAAAUAUAUCACAAAAUGUUGGGUGAACACUUCGAACAAAUGAACCAACUUUUUGUAAAGCAUUUGCGGACGACCAAAUGUUAAUGGUGAUCGUUCACUAGCUGAGCUUGGUGGCUAAAUGUGGUGUGCACGAUUUAAAAGUGGUGAUUUUGACUUAAUAGACUAAGAACGUCCUGGGCGGCUUUACUCGACAAAAAUUGCUACAAACAUAAGAAACCCUCACAGAAUCUUUGGGAGUCACUCAAGCAGCCAUAUCAAAACGUUUAAAUCAGAGAUAAAGAGAUGUCCAACUCCUCUCUCACUGGAAAUGAGAGAACAAUUGAUAAGCGUCAAAACCUCCUGAACUUUGACAUCUAAUCGAGUUCAGUAGGUUUUGACGUUUAUCAAUUGGAAACGAGCGAUGGCCAGAUUGAAAUCUUUAGAAAUUUGAAGGUAUUUGAUGACACGUUUUAUAAUUUAAAGGAUCAUAUUAUUAUUUUCAAUGGAAAAUGUUUAGAAACAAAAAAGGCCAAAAGUCAGUUGUUCUAAUAUAAGGUUGGUACGCAGCUCUCAAUUAAUUGCUCAAGAAAAAAAAUACAUUAUUUCUCAAGUAAUUUUGAUAGCUGGUUACGCAUUGUGAAUGAUCUACAUUAGAAGAGCAAGAGAGAAUAAACAAAGAAAACGAACUUUGUGCGUAAUAUGUAUGUGUGUAUGUGUAUGGUAACAUAAAUACUUUCAUUGAGAUUUAAGAAAUGUUGUUGAUGAUUGGUAGGUUUUAUACAACAUUUCAAAAUGGAAUAUACUUCAUAAUAAUGAUUUCAACUAAUUUAGGAUGAAUUUGACGAUUACUUCGAAUUUCCUUCAAGAAACAAUUGUUGAUUUGAUGUUUCUUCGCAAAACCAGGUUUGCCAUAUUCACAUUUUACUGAAAAAAAGCAUUAAAAAUGAGUACUAGAUUUCUUGAGAGCUGCGUACUAGCACAAGUAAAUUUAUCGCAGGAAAGUUUCUUGACCGUUUCUUAAGCGUUUUUUUAUAUGAAGUUUUUACGUUUCUUGAGAGCUGCGUACUAAGCCAUACUUUAAAAAGAUUUAAAUAGUUUCUCCAUAUAAUAAAUAACCACUGUAUAGUAUUUUUUUUCGUACUAAAUGUUGGGUGUUUCAAUUUAAAUGCCCACAAAUUAUUAUUUUGUUCAAUCUGGUCAUAAUGGAAAAUGUUAUAAAAAACCCUAAUUUUGAAGCGCUCUCACACUGGAAUAAGUUGGUCAUCCCUUUAUUCCUGGUUUAAAUACUAUUAUAGCAAUAACUCAGUUUUGCGUGUUUGUGACUGAUGAUGAUGAAUGGAUCCAUUACGGCAACCAUAAACGCAAAAAUCAUCUUUGAAACUUGACCAAUCACCAAAGCCGAAUUUCUAUGAGUUUUCUUAAAUUACUCAAUACUAAUAGUUCAAAAUUUAUUUCAAAAAUUGUUGCUAAAUUAGCUUACAAUUCACAAAUUGUGUGAAUAUUAAAAAUAGUAAAUUGAUGUACUAUAUUUAGUAUUGUAAAUUAUAGAAAGUAUAACAAUAUAAAUUAUAUAUGAACCAUAUACAUAUAAGCUUUAUACCAAAAAAAUAAUGUUGCCAAACAAUUGAUUGUAAGAAAGAAAAUUCAAUUUGUAAUGUUUAGGAUGGAGUCAUGUGUAGAAGUUCACGCAAUUGAAGAAAGUUCUCUGAACGCCAUUCUCUUGGGAGUGAACAGGAACGAUUCUUUUACAGCUUUAGCAGCUCACGACUUUCGGUUUUUGACCAACUAUCCUAUGGGUAGUCUAAGAACAUCCGUAUGAAGGCGAGCUAAGGUGGGAAGGCGAAACAUCCCCUACAUAGGGUUGUGCGCUGGGUUUGGGGCCGGCCACGUAAAAAAACAUCGAAUGAAAAAUAACAACCAGCCUCGGAUGAGAGACCCCCCUUUUGAUGACAAUGACGAUGGUUGAUAUCCUCGUCUGCGUGUGUUUGUUGUUGUGCCGUUGCAUUAGGUGGAAAAAUCUGCAACUCGGGCACCGUGCAAGGGUUUUGCAAGAGCAAGAGAAUAUCCCUAUUGUGUAUCGCCUUUUCUUUUUUAUAUUAUGUUCGGACCGACAACGAAAACGUUAACACAACAAUUAGUUUGUUGAUUGAGUUGGGCUAGAAAUUGCCCUUGUCGCUACAUACCACACAACUUUUAACGCAAUUUUGAGGCCAACUUCAUUUUGAAUAUUCACUUCGUUGCUUUAACAUGAGUUCGGAAGUUGUUGCUUUACUUAUUAUAAAUGAAGUUUUAGCGGAGGAAGAAGAACAGGUGCAAAAAAACAUUCGGAAAAAAAGAAAAUGGUCUAAAAUGUGGUUGCAAACUAAAAAUGAAUUUUCAAAUAACAAGCUUUUGCAGACGUUGAGAGAAACCGAGCCAAAACACUACAAGAAUUACAUGCGCAUGAGCGAUGAAGUGCAAUUAGUGCAGAGAAUCGUUUGGCAAUAACUUUAAGAUUUUUGACUACCUGCGCCUCAUUUGAAGAACUAAAAUUUUCAACCGCAAUAUCUGCCCAAGAGAUUGUUAAAAUUGUACUUGAGACAUACGAGACCAUUACAAAAGUUCUAAAAGACCCAAUUAAGCUUCCUAAAACACCUGAGCAAUGGAUGGCUGUAGCUGAUCUAUUUUAUGAGAAGUAGAUGUUUCCCAACUGCCUAGGCGGGCUCGAUGGAAAGCACAUAAAUAUUUCACGUCCCCUAACUCCGGUUCAUUCUAUUUUAAUUAUAAAAAGACAUUCAGUAUUGUCUUGUUGGCAAUUGUUGACAGCAACUCCAACUUUUUAAUGGUAGUUUUAGGUGCAAAUGGACGAAUUUCCGAAGAAGGCGUUUUCAGAAAUUCGAAUUUUUUUAAAAAGUUGGAAAGUGGAAGUUUAAAUUUACCAGAACCACACUUAGAGCUUGAAGACGAUGAUCCACUCCUCUUUGUGUUUAACAAAACUCUAAGCUCGGCACGGGUUAAAGUUAAAAACGUUUUUGGUAUUUUGGCAUCGCGUUUUCGACUUCUUCAAGCGACAAUAAAUUUAUGUCCUGAAAAAGUUACUACAGUUGUUCUUGCCUAUUGCUACUUACGGCGCCAGUCAAACUCAAAUCUAUUUGAAUGUUAAAAUAUUCAGCUAUCAGGCAGGGAACCAACGCUGACUAGAAAUGCAUCUUAUGAGGCCAAAACCAUAAGGUUGAAAUAUUGUGAAAUUAUGAAAAAACUUAAAUCUCUUUAAUUCCUUUUAUUUACAUAUAAAAUAGUUAAAUUAGUUGUGUUCUUUAAAUAAAACUUAUAUUCAUUCCCUUAAAACUAAUGCAUAAAAAAUUAACUAAAAAAAUAAUUUAAGCAAAAAAUGAGAAAAAUAAAAUAAAAUAUAUCUAAUCUCUAUCGACGCAUCGCUUUCUAAUUUUUGAAUUUCCAAUAAAAAUUUUUGGUUUGGUUGGUUUUUACUUAUUAACUUUAUUUUGUUUAAUACCAUGUUCAGACCGAAAAUUUAAAAGAUUAGAUUACAUUUAAGCAUAUCAUAACCCAACAGUGUUCUUACUGCCGUUGAAAAGAUUAAAGACGGCUGUUUUUGCCAUUCAAGAAUUUACAUCGCUCAAUAUUUAUCAAAAGAAAACAUUGUCAUAUAGUAUUUUGUAAUAAAAGCCGUAUUCUUUUAAAUAUAUUCCAUAUAAUGGAAAUAA